AAAAUCCCAUCAGCCGUUGAGUCCCUGAUGGGGUUUAAGACGUGGCAAUAACACGCAGACCCAAGAAGAAGAAGAAGUAGAAGAAGAAGAAAUGGGGAGAUUUCAAGAAGCGACAUCAGUAUUGGUAAGCGUGAUUCUAAGGAAAAGCAUCAGCAUGUUUUACGAAGUUGCCUUCCCAUUUGUAGACUUGCUAUGGAUUCUAACCUCGGCUGUUGAGUAUUCAAGAUUUAACAGAAACAGUCGCCACCAAUCGCCGCCGGCUUUCACCGUCACCUACUCUCGUAGCUAUCCCAUCACUCCUACACAUGAUCGGUAGUUCCUCUGCUUUGUGGUGUUAAUUUCUCUCUUUUUAUUUAGUUUUUUGGGUUUUAUUUUUAUACAUACACUGUUUCUUCUUCUCUAUGAUGCUGCUGUAAUCUAAAUAAAAAUAUUUCGUAAUACUUUAAUUAAAUUUAUUUAUUUUUAAAAGUUAUAAUUUUCUUUAUUAAUUUUUUUUUAAUUUAGAAGUCCUAAUUACAUAAUAAUUGAUUUAUAAAACGGAUAAUGCUAUGAAAUUAAUGGUAUUCUCUGGGUUGACAGUGGAGCAAUCAAUUAUAAAAUUUCAUUUGGUAAAACCCUAAUUUGGGAAUCCAUUUUCUGGGUUGUGAAUGGAAAGAUAACACAAUAUAGGAUUAGUGAUAUAUUUGCGCUGUUGGGUAAUAAUUUUCAAAAUAAUAAUCCAUCAAAAUAUUAAUAUUUAAAGAUUAAAAAAAAUUAAAAAAAAUUAUUUUUUACAAUAAUUAAUCAAUUAUUAUGAAAAUAAUUAUUAAUUAUUAAAAUAACUAAUAUUAUCAUAGAAAGGUACAUGGUAGCAUGGAUCACACAAUGUUCUUCUCCCGUUUCUUUUCAAUACAAUGCGAUGACUUUAUAGUUUGCUUUCAUCAGCAUUUUUAAAAUAUUUCAUUUAUAUUUUACUGAUAUUUGAAUUUUUCUAAAAUUAAAGUGAAAAAAAUAUGAUAGUGUAAUAGUGGAUUUUAGCUAUUUUAUUAGCAAAAGAAAACUCAAAUAUUAAAUUAUUUUUUAUUAAAAAAAAUAAAUUGUCAUUUUAGCUAAACUUUAGGGUCUAUAUUGUAUCAUUAAUUUUCAUUCUAAUGACUAAAUUUAUAAUUUUAGUAUAGAGUUAGCUUAAAUUUUAAAUUUAAAUUUGUUGUCUGACUAGCUUAUAUUGUUUUUCUUGUUUUACUUGAGUUUAAGCUUUAUUUUGGUAGAAGCCAUGCAUAAGCAGAAAGCCAGGCUUGCAUAUAUAUAUAUAUAUAUAUAUAUAUAUAUUAAUUGAUGUAUAAUUAUUUUGAAAUAAUUAUAUUAAUAUAUUAACAUAUAGAUGCAUAAUUGUCUCAUUUUAGAUUGGAUAAUUUACAAUAUAAUAUUUGAAAUUUAAUAAAAUUUAUAAUUUUAUUUUUAUUUUUUUAAUAUUAAAUAAUUUAAUUUUAAAUUUUUAUUUGUUAAUAAAAUAGCCUUCUGAUGAUAAAUUUAACGUUAAUGGAAAGAUUCAAUUUAAAUUAAAGUGAUUAAAUUAUUAAUAAAUAUAAUUAUUAUAAAAAGUGAAAUUUAAAAGAUUGAAUUAUUUUGUUAAUAAAAUAAAGUUUUAAACUCUUUAACAAUUUGGAAAUGAUUUUAGAAGAUUUGAACACAUCAGAGUCGGUCUCCUAAUAGAAAUUCUACCCUCAACGAGUCUUUGAAUUCAAGGAUAAAUAUCCUCUGGUCUUGAUAAAACUAUUAAUCUCUUAUCUUCUUGAAAAACAAGACAAAUUCUAAACAUAAUAGUUAUUCAAAGUCUCUAUUUAUUUUGUAAUAAGUACCCACUUGAAGAAUUUUAAUAUUAUAUAUUUUUAUAAGUUAUUUCCUUAGAGAAUACUUUCCAUAAGCAAAUGCAGCAUAGUCUUAUAAUAUUCAAGUAAUGUCAAGUUGUGAACCAUAGUUGAUGUAUUAUUUCAACUGUAGUUUUGAUAAUUUAUUUUGUCGUUAUUAUUAUUAUUAUUUUGGAUAACUUAUGCUAAGAGCUGUUUGGCUUUAAAUUUGCAGAUCAGAUAAAAAACACUAUUUUAAAUGUUAUUGAAAAAAGCUUUUUUGUUAUUUUAGUAUUUUUAUAAUUAAAUUAUGUUUAAAAUAAUUUAGUAUCUAAAUUAUUAUUUAAAUACUACUUUUAACUAAAUUAUGUUAAAAAUAAUUUAGUCAUUUUAGUAUUCUUAUAACUAAAUUAUUGUCUAAUUUAGUGUCUAAAUUAUUUUAAUAUUGUCUAAAUAAUUCUCUUAAGAAAGUAUCUUUCUCGACAACAGCUAAUGUCAAAUAGAUCCUUAGAUUUUCAAGAUUCAGCAAAAUCUACAAAUUAGUCCAAUGUUUAUUUUAAAUAACAAUUGAGUUUUCUAGUAAAAGGAAAAAAAAAAAAAAAAACCAAUUUGCUGUUUGAUAAAAAUGGCCUAAAUAGCCCUUGAAAUGCCUCUCUUAUCUAUCUACUACAACAUCCCACCUCUUUCUCUCUCGUCAUCUCUAUCCAUUCUCAUCAUCCUCCACUGACAACAUCAUCAAUAGAGAAAUAACCUAAUAAAGGACAAAUGGAGCCACCAAAAGUGUAGGCGUCCAUUAUAGAAAUAAAGGGUGUUUAUAUUUUCGAUAAAAAUUUGUAGAAGGUGGUUGUCCUUGUUCUAGUUUAUGUGUUUGUGCCUAUAAUGGAUUGAGAGGGAAAAAAAAAAAAAACCAAGGGCGAGAGUAUUUGUAAUAAUUAAUCAAACCCAACCAGAUGUUUUAGUUGAAUUUGAUUUGAUUCUUUUAAUAAAAUUAGAUUGAUUUGAUUUCAUAUUUUACUAGAUUCAAUUCGAAUUUAUUGGACCAUUUCACAAACAAAAUAUCAUUGGCGUGGCCUAGAAUUCUCCUUUGGAACAGAUGUCUUGUGCAUGGAUGCAUACAUAAUAUUUGGGGCCAAAGAAAGAUAGGAACAGCAACAGCAAGAGCAACUCCCAAGAUUGCCAGGGAUUAUUAAUCCACAAGAGACAAAGAUGAUAGCAAAUUGUCUAAAAGUUCAAAACCAUUAACGCCCACAGAAGAGUUUGAGCAAGAGACAACGAGCUGUUGACUCAUGGCUUUAUUAGGGCACUACCAACUCCUUAAAAGAUAAACCUACUAAUAUAUUUUCAUAAUUUUUUACUCAUAACAGACAUGACACCUUACAUAAUUUUGUAUUUUUAUCGACUUGAGAACGAUAAAUAGACAUCUUUAUCUACAUACAAUUUGGAGGUUUCACAUCUUUGACAUUGUGUAAUCCAUAGCAUCCACAAAGAAAUCUGCAACCACAGGAAUUCACCAAGUGUUACUAGUGCAGCCUAGUUGAAAAUUCUAUGAUGCUUAGUACAAGAGGAAAACAAAAUUACAAAUGUACCUGCGUCUUCUUUUGUGAAACACAGGGGAGGGGUGAUUCUGAAAACAUUCCCAUAGAAUCCACCUUUUCCGACCAAGACUCCAAUAUCUGUGACAAAAUUCAGGGGUCUAUUAAAAACUAGAAGAUACCAUUGAGUAUAGCAUUUAGGUAGACCAUAGGCUGGUGAAAUACAAACCUUUCAUUUCGUCCAUUACAUGUAAAGUUUCAGCCUUUGCAGGAGUUUUCUCUUGGCGAUCAGUUACCAGCUCAACUCCAAGCAUCAAUCCUCUUCCCCUCACAUCACCAAUAACUGCAGAAAUCCAGUUAUAACACGAUCAGCAUAUACAAACCUUUAGGUCACUUUAAAAAAAAAACAAGUAAAAAACGUGGAGAUAUAAACCAAAAAGAAAAUAAUACUUAAUAGCUGAGGUUGAUAUCAUUGCAAGAAGUAAUUUCAAAUAUUGCUACCCAUUUCACAAUGCUAUAUGCAGGGAUUCAAAUUUAUUUUGAUUUUUGUUAUGAAUGCAGAGUAAAAUAAGCUGAUUUAUGAUGUAUAAAUAAGUCCAAUACAUAGAGUCAGGGAUAUGGAAGGUCUAUUUACUUUCAUAUUUUUCUCUGAGUUCAAUUAGUCUCUGUUUCAGAUAGGACCCCACAACCAACGCAUUCUCCUGAAGCUUUUCUUUCUCAAUCACUUUUAGAACAGCCAGCCCUGCAGCAGUACAUACAGGAUUCCCCCCAAAUGUGUUGAAGUAACUUCGACGAGUCAAUACUUCAGCAAUCUCAGGAGUUGUCACCACAGCACC
rnacentral:lncRNA from 1 species